rnacentral:rRNA from 1 species
UACGGGGGGGGCAAGCGUUGUUCGGAAUUACUGGGCGUAAAGGGCUCGUAGGCGGCCAACUAAGUCGGACGUGAAAUCCCCAGGCUCAACCUGGGAACUGCGUCCGAUACUGGAUGGCUUGAAUCCGGGAGAGGGAUGCAGAAUUCCAGGUGUAGCGGUGAAAUGCGUAGAUAUGUCACAGAACACCAAUUGCGAAGGCAGCUUACUAUGGUUUUAUUGACACUGAGGCACGAAAGCGUGGGGAUCAAACAGG